rnacentral:rRNA from 1 species
UACGUAGGGUGCAAGCGUUAAUCGGAAUUACUGGGCGUAAAGCGCGCGCAGGCGGUGAUGUAAGUCAGGUGUGAAAUCCCCGGGCUUAACCUGGGAACUGCAUUUGUGACUGCAUCGCUGGAGUGCGGCAGAGGGGGAUGGAAUUCCGCGUGUAGCAGUGAAAUGCGUAGAUAUGCGGAGGAACACCGAUGGCGAAGGCAAUCCCCUGGGCCUGCACUGACGCUCAUGCACGAAAGCGUGGGGAGCAAACAGG